rnacentral:rRNA from 1 species
GGGAAACUGCCCGAUGGAGGGGGAUAACUACUGGAAACGGUAGCUAAUACCGCAUAACGUCGCAAGACCAAAGUGGGGGACCUUCGGGCCUCACACCAUCGGAUGUGCCCAGAUGGGAUUAGCUAGUAGGUGGGGUAAUGGCUCACCUAGGCGACGAUCCCUAGCUGGUCUGAGAGGAUGACCAGCCACACUGGAACUGAGACACGGUCCAGACUCCUACGGGAGGCAGCAGUGGGGAAUAUUGCACAAUGGGCGCAAGCCUGAUGCAGCCAUGCCGCGUGUAUGAAGAAGGCCUUCGGGUUGUAAAGUACUUUCAGCGGGGAGGAAGGCGGUGAAGUUAAUAACUUCACCGAUUGACGUUACCCGCAGAAGAAGCACCGGCUAACUCCGUGCCAGCAGCCGCGGUAAUACGGAGGGUGCAAGCGUUAAUCGGAAUUACUGGGCGUAAAGCGCACGCAGGCGGUCUGUCAAGUCGGAUGUGAAAUCCCCGGGCUUAACCUGGGAACUACAUUCGAAACUGGCAGGCUGGAGUCUUGUAGAGGGGGGUAGAAUUCCAGGU